UACGGGGGGGGCAAGCGUUGUUCGGAAUUACUGGGCGUAAAGGGCUCGUAGGCGGCCAACUAAGUCGGAUGUGAAAUCCCCAGGCUUAACCUGGGAAUUGCAUCCGAUACUGGAUGGCUUGAAUCCGGGAGAGGGAUGCGGAAUUCCAGGUGUAGCGGUGAAAUGCGUAGAUAUCGUAAGGAAGACCAGUGGCGAAGGCGGGUCUCUGGACAGUUCCUGACGCUGAGGCACGAAGGCCAGGGGAGCAAACGGG
rnacentral:rRNA from 1 species